GACGAACGCUGGCGGCGUGCCUAAUACAUGCAAGUCGUGCGGACCUUGUUGAAAGCUUGCUUUUAAAAGGUUCGCGGCGGACGGGUGAGUAACACGUGGGCAACCUGCCUGUAAGACUGGGAUAACGCCGGGAAACCGGGGCUAAUACCAGAUCGUUUUUUCCUCCGCAUGGAGGAAAAAGGAAAGGCGGCUUCGGCUGCCACUUACAGAUGGGCCCGCGGCGCAUUAGCUAGUUGGCGGGGUAAUGGCCCACCAAGGCAACGAUGCGUAGCCGACCUGAGAGGGUGAUCGGCCACAUUGGGACUGAGACACGGCCCAAACUCCUACGGGAGGCAGCAGUAGGGAAUCUUCCGCAAUAGACGAAAGUCUGACGGAGCAACGCCGCGUGAGUGAAGAAGGCCUUCGGGUCGUAAAACUCUGUUGCCGGGGAAGAACAAGUGCCGUUCGAACAGGGCGGCGCCUUGACGGUACCCGGCCAGAAAGCCACGGCUAACUACGUG
rnacentral:rRNA from 1 species